rfam:Lactococcus piscium MKFS47 genome assembly, chromosome: I
AUACCUUUAGUUUAAUGGUAGAACACUCACAGCACUGUGAGUGGUACAGGUUCGAUCCCUGCAGGGUAUA